ensembl:snRNA U2 U2 spliceosomal RNA
AUCGCUUCUCUCGGCUUUUGGCUAAGAUCAAGUGUAGUACUUGUUCUUAUCAGUUUUAAUAUCUGAUACGUCCCCUAUCGUGGGACCAUAUAUAAAUGGAUUUUUUGGAACAGGAGAUGGGAGAGAAGAGCUGCUUCUGUCCACUCCACGCAUCGACCUGUAUUAGUCCCUCCAGGAACCGGGUGCCACCUCU